GGGGGCGCCAUGGUUUCGACUGAAGGUUGGAAACGCUGGCUGCAUGUGGAGGUUGAUCGGUUGGCCUCCUAAAAAGCCGAUCAAAAAACAUAAUUGCAGACUCUAACGAGCUUGCUCUCGCCGCUUAAUUGACAGCGAGCGUUCCCGGUUCGACGCCCACUAGGGCCAGGAGCGACAACCAGUGGGCUGGCAGGAAGGCCGGGUGUCCGGGUCGGCCUGCAAGAUUAAACAGGGCAACCGGGUUCCGAAGCUGGCUGACAGAGGAGCGGAACCUUAAAACCUCACCUGACAGCUAAACAUGUAGAGGCUUGCGCGAAAGGCUUUUAGGACAGGGGUUCGACUCCCCUCGCCUCCACCA
rnacentral:tmRNA from 1 species